GAAUUACAUGCCCUUCAGUGGGGAAUAGCCCAGGGAAACUUGGAUUAAUACCCCAUGGUAUCGCAAGAUUAAAGGUGGCCGCAAGGCUGUCGCUGAAGGAUUGGUUCGCGCCCUAUCAGCUUGUUGGUGAGGUAACGGCUCACCAAGGCUACGACGGGUACCUGGUCUGAGAGGACGAUCAGGCACACUGGAACUGAGACACGGUCCAGACACCUACGGGUGGCAGCAGUCGAGAAUAAUUCACAAUGGGGGCAACCCUGAUGGUGCAACGCCGCGUGGAGGAUGAAGGUCUUCGGAUUGUAAACUCCUGUCAUCUGGGAGUAAGACCUGGCUGUGAAUAGCAGACAGGGUUGAUAGUACCAGAAGAGGAAGGGACGGCUAACUUCGUGCCAGCAGCCGCGGUAAUACGAAGGUCCCGAGCGUUGUUCGGAAUCACUGGGCGUAAAGGGAGCGUAGGCGGCGUGGUAAGUCAGAUGUGAAAUCCCGGGGCACAACCCCGGAACUGCAUCCGAUACUGCCGUGCUAGAGGAUUGGAGAGGUAGCUGGAAUUCUUGGU
rnacentral:rRNA from 1 species